ACGAACGCUGGCGGCGUGCUUAACACAUGCAAGUCGAACGGAAAGGCCCUGCUUUUGUGGGGUGCUCGAGUGGCGAACGGGUGAGUAACACGUGAGUAACCUGCCCUUGACUUUGGGAUAACUUCAGGAAACUGGGGCUAAUACCGGAUAGGAGCUCCUGCUGCAUGGUGGGGGUUGGAAAGUUUCGGCGGAUGGGGAUGGACUCGCGGCUUAUCAGCUUGUUGGUGGGGUAGUGGCUUACCAAGGCUUUGACGGGUAGCCGGCCUGAGAGGGUGACCGGCCACAUUGGGACUGAGAUACGGCCCAGACUCCUACGGGAGGCAGCAGUGGGGAAUAUUGCACAAUGGGCGGAAGCCUGAUGCAGCAACGCCGCGUGCGGGAUGACGGCCUUCGGGUUGUAAACCGCUUUCGCCUGUGACGAAGCGUGAGUGACGGUAAUGGGUAAAGAAGCACCGGCUAACUACGUG
rnacentral:rRNA from 1 species